GAUCACCAGGGACAUCUUUUCUGAUUGGUUUUACAAAUAUUUUGUACCAGUGGCUCAUGCUCACUGCAGAGAAGCUGGACUGGAUAAUGACUGCAAGAUUUUCUUAUUCCUUGACAACUGUUCUGCUAAUCUUUCAGCCCCAGAGCACUGAGUUCCUGUCCCGGCAACACUGGAAGAAGCACUGCGGCCGGAGCAUGGUCAGGUGGCCGUAGCCCAGCAGAUAAAGUGCACUCAGCUCCACCA